ensembl:lncRNA
UGAACUCUUGCAUAUGAUCCCAUGCUUUUAUAAGCAACUGAACUCUUUGUUUUUGUGCUGGGUAUUUCUUCCUUCCCACCCCCACCCCUUGCAGAGAGAACAGAAGGAGUCUAUGCAUCCAUCUUUGUAAAUGAAAAAGCUGAGAUCACAUCAUCACAGGACUACAGAGUGCUUUAUGACUACACAGCCCAGAACGUGGAUGAGCUGGACAUCAGCGAGGGGGACACCGUGGUUGUCAUUGCGGAGAACGACGACGGCUGGUGGACAGCAGAAAGGAACGGCCAGAGGGGCUUCGUGCCAGGCUCCUACCUUGAGAAGCUUUGAUGACAAGGAGCCCCAGUCCUCAGACUUUACAAAUAUUCUAUUACUGAAAACAAUCAGCACACAAGGUCUGCUUCAGCUGACCAAGAGCAUCCCAAUAAUAAUAAUGUUUUCUACAACCACCAGUCAGGAAAUAACCAACUGACCAUGCUUUUCUCUCCCUUGCUCCUGCUUCAUCCCAUUGUUCUCCUGGCCUCCACUCUCUGAAAAAACUGAGAGAUUAGGACUUGCAUGUUUUGGCACAGUCACUCAGCACACUGUGCUGCCAGCAAUGUUUCAGAGCUUGGUGAUCCUGGGAGGAAAAUCCUGCCCAGAUCUCAGCUGUGCAAAGGGAAAGAUCACAGAAGCAAGUGCAGUCUCUGCAGGCUGGAGAACUGUCCCCAGGCAGCCUGGGAGUCACUCUCAUGGUCAUGGCAGCCACAUUCUCUGCCAUGGAUCCCUUUCUCCCCAUGCACAGCCCAUGCUGGCAUUUUUGACAGAGGAUGGUUUAUCAGUCACAGAUGAAAAUACAAAAAACAGUGAAUGCACCCUGAGAGGAGCACCUGAAGGACCAGGACACAUCCCCAGUAGGAAAACUUGAGGCACUCCCCAUCACAACCAUCUCCUAACACAAUGGAAUCCAUGCUAGCCAUGGGCUCUGCUUUGCUCUGCAUUCUGGGACAGAUGAUGGGCCCAAGGCUUGCUUUGGCCUUGGUUGGAAGGUUUCCCUAACACCUCUCUGGGAUUAUGAAAUUUAAAAAUACAACAACAAGACAAAGAGCAGCUAAGCCAAGCCUCCAGCAGUGCUGCACUGCUCUGAUUCCUCUCCUCUGACCCCAGGGAAUUGCCAGUUACCUCCCCUGCAAUGUCAGCAGGGCAGCCUCCCCUCCCUUCCAGUGCUCAGCCCCUCCUGCCCAGGCUGCUCUGGCUCCCUGUGCUGCCUCAGCCUCUGCUCCUCUGUGAUUGCUGCCACAGGGACACCCUGGGCCCUUUCCAGCCACCCCUAAUGUGCUCAUUCUGCAACAGAACCUCUUCAGAGGUGUUGCACUGUGCAGGUUCACUGUAUUUCACAGAUUUCAGCUCUAUCAGUCUUUCUAGUUUAAUAUUGUUUCCAACUGUUACUGUACUGUACAAGGAAUGGGUGGAUAGUUUCUGCCAUUCUUCCCUUUUCAGUAUUUCAGGAUAGUUUAAAAAAUUUUAAAGCUGGUGAUUUAAUUUGAAUCAUAGCAAACUAUUUCUGGGGGCAGAAUGACCAUUUGCCAAGGUUUCAGGCCUUAAAACUGAAUCCAGACAAUGAAAAUUAAUCCUAUUGCUACCUGAAAGGCAUGGAGGAGAGAGGGACUGUUAGCUCAGACACACAAAAAGGACAAGAGAAAUCAGGACAAAAGAAAAAGGUGUAAUGGUCAAUGCAAUCUUUUCUUAAAUGAAACACAGAGAAGGUCAGAGGCACUUGCAGUAUCUUAUUUGAAUUCUGCCUUCAAGGAUGGAACAGAAGUUUCAGGCCCUUUCCCUUUGGCUGCCUGCAGUGCUUUGCACAGGCCCUUGUCCUUCUCCCCAGUUCCCCCAGCACACCCACAGCAGGGCUGGAGGGCCCUGAGCCCCUGGCACCAGCACAGGCUCAGGGCUGGGAUGGCACUGAAGGCAGCAGAGUGAGGACAGCACUGCCCAGGCUGGCAGGGGAAGGAGAGGCCUCUGUGACACACCUCAGGUGACACAAAGGACAGCACUGGUGGGGCUGCCCAACAACCACAGCAUCCCUUCUUAGCUACAGCAGGAGAGGAAACCAAAAGCACAAGAGAUUUAAUCUAUUCACUUCUUGAACACUCAAUCUUCCACAAAG